GUGAAUCAUCGAAUUUUUGAACGCAAAUGGCACUCUCUGGGAUUCCGGAGAGUAUGCCUGUUUGAGGGUUAGUUAAAUAAAAAUCGGUGUUUAGUUGCCGCUUUGCGUAGUGACGCAUCGGGUUUGUGUCGUCUUGCCUUCGGUUAAGGUACCUAAAAUUUUGCAUGUUUUUUUCGAACGUUUUUAAAUGAUGUUACGUAGGUUUGCGAUAGAGAAUAAUAGGUGGUGUCAUGCUC
rnacentral:misc_RNA from 1 species